UACGUAGGGGGCAAGCGUUGUCCGGAUUUACUGGGCGUAAAGAGCGUGUAGGCGGCCAAACAGGUCCGUUGUGAAAACUGGAGGCUCAACCUCCAGACGUCGACGGAAACCGUGUGGCUAGAGUCCGGAAGAGGAGAGUGGAAUUCCCAGUGUAGCGGUGAAAUGCGUAGAUAUCUGGAGGAACACCGGUGGCGAAGGCGGCAUCCUGGACCGACACUGACGCUGAGGAGCGAAAGCCAGGGGAGCAAACAGG
rnacentral:rRNA from 1 species